AAUUCUUUAAUUAGGGUUUUCUAUAACUACUUCUUGUGCCACUAUAUACCAGGCUAUAUAUAUUUGCUUAAAAUUAGUUGCCUAUGGCUUAUGUCGAUGCUUUUUUUUUGUUUAUAUACUUUUGGAAAUAUUAGCAUGCGGUGCUUUUUCCAACUAUAAAUAUCAUCUUUGCUUUUUCACCAGGAGUGUUUGUUCUAGAUUUCUUUUAUAAAGUUUUAGGUUUUUUUUUCUUCAAAAAAUAGUAAUAUUUUCAACCUGAUAUUUCUUUUUCUUUUUUUAAUCUAUUAAUUAAGCUACUAAUUAAGCGAAAACGGAAACUUAAGAACCUAUUUGAUAAAAAGAGGUGUAUAGGCAGCUUGAUAGGAUGUUUGCCACUGUAUACUUGUGGGCGAUGAUUGUGUCUCCUAUCCGCUAAAGCUCCUCAACAAAUUUAGUUUCUUUUUUAGUGAAAGUGAACAUAUAGCGACAAUAUGAUAAUAUCACUUGAGACAAUAUACUAGGCGAAUAAUAGUGCAAUAUUGGUCACUUUACGUUUGAGCUCUGUUUUCUUGCUAAUCUCUCUCUAUAUAUAUAUAGCUAGGAUUUAAGGAGGUGAUGUGGCAUGCCUUUUGAUCGAAAAACACAUUUAUCUUUUUUUUCUUUUUUUGGUAUUUUUUGACUUAUCUCUCUAUUUAUCUUAUUUAAAUAAAUUUAAUAUGUCCAAAAAAACUCUCUUCUAACGUUGAGUUCCUUCGUAUUCGUAACCAACUCAUCCUUUUAAAUUUUAUAAUUGUUGUAACAAUUAAAGAGGACGGCAUUAUAUUCAGUACAGUUGAACAGUUGUAACAAUUAAAGAAAAUAUUUAUGAAUCGGUGUAAGCCUGCAAACUACUAUAUAAAAAUUCACGGUGUGAAUUAGUGUAACUCUACUUUUUCUUUUUCUAAACAAUAGCCUGCAAAUAAUAUAAGCCCGUGAUAUCUACUGGGGAUAAAUUGGGAGGAAGGUAACAACAAGUUUUUUCACAACAGGAGUCAGACACCUAUAUGGUAAUUCUGAACUUUUUCAGAUUUCAGUCACUUAUAAAUAUCUCUUACUCCAUUCUUCUCCCAAAUCCUUUAAUGUAUUUGUUCAAUGAUACGAGUUUGCAAUUUAAAUUGAUUUGUUGCAUGUGUAUGUUGUUGAUUAAUUGUAGUUGAUGACGGUUCUUUGUGAUAUAAUUGGAAAGCACUGUAUCAGUUUCACAGUCAAUACGGAGGUAAUUUUCGUACCUUUUUCUUAAAUUUUUCUAUUUUGUACUUAUGGGGUUGUAAUCUUUUAGAAUCUUGAUCUUUUAUGUUUUUUCUUUUACGUCAUUGCUCUCAGGAC
rnacentral:lncRNA from 1 species